rnacentral:rRNA from 1 species
CAGUAUGGGAGUGAGAAUGUUGGCAUGAGUAGCGAGAUGUGGGUGAGAAUCCCACAGGCCGUAAACCCAAGGUUUCCAGGGGAAGGUUCGUCCGCCCUGGAUUAGUCGGGACCUAAGCUGAGGCCGAAAGGCGUAGGUGAUGGACAACAGGUUGAUAUUCCUGUACUACCGAUAACCGUUUGAGAGAAGGGAUGACACAGUAGGAUAAGCUAAGCACACUGUUGGUUAUGUGUGCCCAAGCAUUGAGGCAGUCAAAGUAGGCAAAUCCGCUUUGAUAAUGCUGGGAUGUGAUGGGGAGCGAAAUUUAGUAGCGAAGUAGCUGAUUUCACACUGUCAAGAAAAGUCUCUAUCGAGGUUAAAGGUACCCGUACCGCAAACCGACACAGGUGGGUGAGGAGAGUAUCCUAAGGCCAGCGAGAGAACUGUUGUUAAGGAACUCGGCAAAAUGACCCCGUAACUUAGGGAUAAGGGGUGCCACCAUCAGGUGGCCGCAGAGAAUAGGCCCAAGCGACUGUUUACCAAAAACAUAGGUUUCUGCUAAGUCGCAAGACGAUGUAUAGGAGCUGACGCCUGCCCGGUGCUGGAAGGUUAAGGGGAUCUGUUAGAGCAAUCGAAGCAGUGAACUUAAGCCCCAGUAAACGGCGGCCGUAACUAUAACGGUCCUAAGGUAGCGAAAUUCCUUGUCGGGUAAGUUCCGACCCGCACGAAAGGCGUAACGAUUUGGGCACUGUCUCAACAACAGACUCGGUGAAAUUGUAAUUCCGGUGAAGAUGCCGGAUACCUGCGACAGGACGGAAAGACCCCAUGGAGCUUUACUGUAGCUUGACAUUGGGUCUUGGUACUACAUGUACAGGAUAGGUGGGAGGCUUUGAAACCAGGACGCCAGUUUUGGCGGAGCCAUCCUUGGGAUACCACCCUUGUAGUACUGGGACUCUAACCAUAGGCCAUGAAUCUGGUCUUGGGACACUGUCAGGUGGGCAGUUUGACUGGGGCGGUCGCCUCCCAAAAGGUAACGGAGGCGCUCAAAGGUUCUCUCAGUACGGUCGGAAAUCGUACGUAGAGUGUAAAGGCAAAAGAGAGCUUGAUUGCAAGACAUACAGGUCGAGCAAGGAUGAAAAUCGGACUUAGUGAUCCGGUGGUUCUGCGUGGAAGGGCCAUCGCUCAACGGAUAAAAGCUACCCUGGGGAUAACAGGCUUAUCUCCCCCAAGAGUCCACAUCGACGGGGAGGUUUGGCACCUCGAUGUCGGCUCAUCACAUCCUGGGGCUGUAGUAGGUCCCAAGGGUUGGGCUGUUCGCCCAUUAAAGUGGUACGCGAGCUGGGUUCAGAACGUCGUGAGACAGUUCGGUCCCUAUCCGUCGCAGGCGUAGGAAAUUUGAGAAGACCUGUCCUUAGUACGAGAGGACCGGGAUGGACGUACCUCUGGUGUCCCAGUUGUUCUGCCAAGGGCAUGGCUGGGUAGCUAUGUACGGAAUGGAUAAGCGCUGAAAGCAUCUAAGCGCGAAGCCAACUUCAAGAUAAGAUUUCCCACCGCAAGGGUAAGACCCCAGAAAGACUAUCUGGUUGAUAGGUCGAAGGUGUAAGUGCAGCAAUGUAUUUAGCUUAUCGAUACUAAUAGGUCGAGGACUUGACCA